AUGCGGCUGCUCCUCCACCGUCAUGUGACGCGUGUAGUGGCCGUUCACCAGGGGAGACUCAGCUCCACGAUCACCACCACUCACUUGAUGUGCAGGUCCACACGCCAUCGACAAGUCGACCCGCGAAAGAAGCUGGCCCUACCGAUCAGGAUGACAUCGAUGAGGAGGAAGCAAUGGUGUGACGUCAUGGAUCCCACCUUUAUCAGCAUGUUCAUGUUCUACAACCCUAUCGGCCCCGGGCAAAGAAUCACACACGUUAUCAUAGGCGAGGACUGGUCGUGGCUAUAUGCAAGUGUGGUCGCCGACACCCAGGCAGGCUCAACGUAUAGCAUGCAUACACGGGCUCUUUUCUGA
rnacentral:rRNA from 1 species